rnacentral:snRNA from 1 species
CCCUGGAAAGGGGCGCCA